ensembl:processed_transcript
AAUAACCAUUUAUUAGUAUUGUUACUGUUGCCCUGGUUCAGUGCUGAGAUCACUGUGUUUGUGCAGACUGGAGAUUCUACACAACAACUACCAGAGUUUGAUGAUUUAUUCUGGAUAAAUGAUAAAUAUGAAUAUAUAGUUAAAUAUUCUAAUGAAUAUAAGAAGAUUAAAACUUACUCGUCAUAUCAGAACAGAAUAGAGUUUAAUGAAACAAGCUUCUCUCUGACACUGAAGAACAUGCAGAAGGCAGACAGUGGACGAUACACAGCAAGAAUAAACAGAGAUUUAGACAAAGACAUGUUGUAUACAGAGUAUGCAGUGGAGGCUCCUGUUCUGACUGUAAACUCAAUCAGCUGUGACUCCUGUACUGUUAACUUCACAUGCAGAGCUCAAGACCUCAUCAUUAAUAACUCUAGCUAUCAGAACAACCAUUGCUCACCAGAGGAAGUGACAUCACAGCAGAUCAACACCCUCAUCCUGUUCUGCAGUGAGGAAUCGAUCUUCUGUAACUACAGCAAUCCUGUCAGCUGGAAAAAAGAGGAAAUGGAGAUUAAACCACUCUGUAGAGGGAAGGAAGAGGGUGGGUCAGUUGAUCGGUCAGUCAGUCAAACAGUCAGUCGACAGUGGCCUAAGGUGGGUUUUGGCAAGAACAGCAUGCACUAA